rnacentral:rRNA from 1 species
CGGUACGUACUGGCAUUGUUGGUUUCUCCCUUCUGACGAACCAUGAUGUCAUUUAUUUGGUGUUGUGGGGAAUCAGGACUGUUACUUUGAAAAAAUUAGAGUGUUUAAAGCAGGCUCACGCUUGAAUACAUUAGCAUGGAAUAAUGAAAUAGGACGUUUGAUUCUAUUUUGUUGGUUUCUAGGAUCGACGUAAUGAUUAAUAGGGAUAGUUGGGGGCAUUAGUAUUCAAUUGUCAGAGGUGAAAUUCUUGGAUUUAUUGAAGACUAACUACUGCGAAAGCAUUUGCCAAGGAUGUUUUCAUUAAUCAAGAACGAAAGUUAGGGGAUCGAAGACGAUCAGAUACCGUCGUAGUCUUAACCAUAAACUAUGCCGACUAGGGAUCGGAUGAUGUUAAUUUUUUAGUGACUCAUUCGGCGCCUUACG